rnacentral:rRNA from 1 species
CCCUUAGAUGUUCUGAGCUGCACGCGUGUUACAAUCGGGAGUACAACAAGAUUGCAAAUCCUAGUGGAUGAGUGGUUCUUCGAAAUUUUCUGAAGACUGGGAUAGUUGAUUGAAAUUAUUCAACUCAAACGAGGAAUUCCUUGUAAUUGUAAUUCAUUAUAUUGUAAUGAAUACGUCCCUGCCCUUUGUACACACCGCCCGUCGCUCCUACCGAUUGAACGAUCCGGUGAAUUAUUUGGAGUAGCUCUGGAAGUUGCAGAACUUCCUAUGUCACGAAAUUUUGUAAACCUUAUCGUUUAGAGGAAGGAAAAGUCGUAACA